rnacentral:rRNA from 1 species
AUUGAACGCUGGCGGCAGGCCUACACAUGCAAGUCGAGCGGAUGAAGAGAGCUUGCUCUCUGAUUCAGCGGCGGACGGGUGAGUAAUGCCUAGGAAUCUGCCUGGUAGUGGGGGACAACGUUUCGAAAGGAACGCUAAUACCGCAUACGUCCUACGGGAGAAAGCAGGGGACCUUCGGGCCUUGCGCUAUCAGAUGAGCCUAGGUCGGAUUAGCUAGUAGGUGAGGUAAAGGCUCACCUAGGCGACGAUCCGUAACUGGUCUGAGAGGAUGAUCAGUCACACUAGAACUGAGACACGGUCCAGACUCCUACGGGAGGCAGCAGUGGGGAAUAUUGGACAAUGGGCGAAAGCCUGAUCCAGCCAUGCCGCGUGUGUGAAGAAGGUCUUCGGAUUGUAAAGCACUUUAAGUUGGGAGGAAGGGCAGUAAGUUAAUACCUUGCUGUUUUGACGUUACCAACAGAAUAAGCACCGGCUAACUUCGUGCCAGCCGCCGCCGUAAGAC